rnacentral:rRNA from 1 species
AUUGAACGCUGGCGGCAUGCUUUACACAUGCAAGUCGGACGGCAGCACAGAGAAGCUUGCUUCUUGGGUGGCGAGUGGCGAACGGGUGAGUAAUAUAUCGGAACGUACCGAGUAAUGGGGGAUAACUAAUCGAAAGAUUAGCUAAUACCGCAUAUUCUCUGAGGAGGAAAGCAGGGGACCUUCGGGCCUUGCGUUAUUCGAGCGGCCGAUAUCUGAUUAGCUAGUUGGUGGGGUAAAGGCCUACCAAGGCGACGAUCAGUAGCGGGUCUGAGAGGAUGAUCCGCCACACUGGGACUGAGACACGGCCCAGACUCCUACGGGAGGCAGCAGUGGGGAAUUUUGGACAAUGGGCGCAAGCCUGAUCCAGCCAUGCCGCGUGUCUGAAGAAGGCCUUCGGGUUGUAAAGGACUUUUGUCAGGGAAGAAAAGGCUGUUGCUAAU